rnacentral:rRNA from 1 species
UACGUAGGGGGCGAGCGUUGUCCGGAAUCAUUGGGCGUAAAGAGCGUGUAGGCGGCUUGGCAAGUCUCGCGUGAAAUCCUGCGGCUCAACCGCAGGCCUGCGUGGGAUACUGCCUCGCUAGAGUCCGGAAGAGGAGAGUGGAAUUCCUGGUGUAGCGGUGGAAUGCGCAGAUAUCAGGAAGAACACCCGUGGCGAAGGCGGCUCUCUGGGACGGUACUGACGCUGAGACGCGAAAGCGUGGGGAGCGAACAGGAUUAGAUACCCUGGUAGUCCACGCUGUAAACGAUGGGCGCUAGGUGUGGGAGGUGUCGACUCCUCCCGUGCCGUAGCUAACGCAUUAAGCGCCCCGCCUGGGGAGUACGGUCGCAAGACUAAA